rnacentral:misc_RNA from 1 species
UUUCCGUAGGUGAACCUGCGGAAGGAUCAUUAUUGAAUGAAACACUUCUGGCUUUAUGCUGUUGUGCUGGCCCUUUGGGCAAUGUGCACACGGCUCUGGUCACAUGUUUCUUCUGUUCCACCUGUGCACUGCCUGUAGACACGCUGUGUCUAUGAUAUUUGUUAACACACAACAAUGUUAGUUGGCAUGUUAUAUAUAAUAAUAAAAUAUACAACUUUCAACAACGGAUCUCUUGGCUCUC